rnacentral:rRNA from 1 species
GAUGAACGCUGGCGGCGUGCCUAAUACAUGCAAGUCGAGCGAACAGAUGAGGAGCUUGCUCCUCUGACGUUAGCGGCGGACGGGUGAGUAACACGUGUAUAACCUACCUAUAAGACUGGGAUAACUUCGGGAAACCGGAGCUAAUACCGGAUAAUAUAUUGAACCGCAUGGUUCAAUAGUGAAAGACGGUUUUGCUGUCACUUAUAGAUGGAUCCGCGCCGCAUUAGCUAGUUGGUAAGGUAACGGCUUACCAAGGCAACGAUGCGUAGCCGACCUGAGAGGGUGAUCGGCCACACUGGAACUGAGACACGGUCCAGACUCCUACGGGAGGCAGCAGUAGGGAAUCUUACGCAAUGGGCGAAAGCCUGACGGAGCAACGCCGCGUGAGUGAUGAAGGUCUUCGGAUCGUAAAACUCUGUUAUUAGGGAAGAACAAAUGUGUAAGUAAAUAUGCACGUCUUGACGGUACCUAAUCAGAAAGCCACGGCUAACUACGUG